UACGUAGGGUGCGAGCGUUAAUCGGAAUUACUGGGCGUAAAGUGUGCGCAGGCGGCCGCGCAAGUCGAGUGUGAAAGCCCCGAGCUUAACUUGGGAAUUGCGCUCGAAACUACGUGGCUGGAGUGUGGCAGAGGAAGGUGGAAUUCCAGGUGUAGCGGUGAAAUGCGUAGAGAUCUGGAGGAACACCGGAGGCGAAGGCGAAUCACUGGACCGCUUCUGACGCUGAGGCGCGAAAGCUAGGGGAGCAAACAGG
rnacentral:rRNA from 1 species